rnacentral:rRNA from 1 species
UACGUAGGGGGCAAGCGUUUGUCCGGAAUCAUUGGGCGUAAAGCGCGUGUAGGCGGCUGAGUAAAGUCUGCUCUGAAAGCCCGGGGCUCAACCCCGGGAGGCGGGUGGAUACUGCUCAGCUCGAGUCCGGAAGAGGAGUGUGGAAUUCCUGGUGUAGCGGUGAAAUGCGCAGAUAAGUCGAGGAGGAACACCAAUGGGCGAAAGGCAGCACCUUCUGGG